rnacentral:rRNA from 1 species
CCUACGGGAGGCAGCAGUGAGGAAUAUUGGUCAAUGGGCUUACGCCUGAACCAGCCAAGUCGCGUGAGGGAAGAAUGCCCUAUGGGUUGUAAACCUCUUUAGGCGGGGAGCAAUGCCGGGCACGCGUGCCCGGAGGGAGAGUACCCGCAGAAUAAGCAUCGGCUAACUCCGUGCCAGCAGCCGCGGUAAUACGGAGGAUGCGAGCGGUAUCCGGAUUUAUUGGGUUAAAAGGGUGCGUGGGCGGAUUUUUAAGUAAGCGGUAAACUGUCCGGGACCAACCCGGGCCGGCCGUUGAAACUGGUGAUCUUGAGUGGGCGAGAAGUAUGCGGAAUGCGUGGUGUAGCGGUGAAAUGCACAGAGAUCACGCAGAACUCCGAUUGCGAAGGCAGCAUACCGGCGCCUGACUGACGCUGAGGCACGAAAGCGUGGGGAUCGAACAGGAUUAGAUACCCGUGUAGUC